GGCCCGGUAGUUCAGUCGGUUAGAACGCUUGCCUGUCACGCAAGAGGUCGUCAGUUCGAAUCUGAUUCGGGUCGCCA
rnacentral:tRNA from 1 species